AUUGAACGCUGGCGGCAUGCCUUACACAUGCAAGUCGAACGGCAGCACGGGAGCAAUCCUGGUGGCGAGUGGCGAACGGGUGAGUAAUAUAUCGGAACGUGCCCAGUCGUGGGGGAUAACGCAGCGAAAGCUGUGCUAAUACCGCAUACGAUCUAUGGAUGAAAGCGGGGGACCGCAAGGCCUCGCGCGAUUGGAGCGGCCGAUAUCAGAUUAGCUAGUUGGUGGGGUAAAGGCCCACCAAGGCGACGAUCUGUAGCUGGUCUGAGAGGACGACCAGCCACACUGGAACUGAGACACGGUCCAGACUCCUACGGGAGGCAGCAGUGGGGAAUUUUGGACAAUGGGCGCAAGCCUGAUUCAGCAAUGCCGCGUGCAGGAUGAAGGCCUUCGGGUUGUAAACUGCUUUUGUACGGAACGAAACGGUGAGCUUUAAUACAGUUUGCUAAUGACGGUACCGUAAGAAUAAGCACCGGCUAACUACGUGCCAGCCGCCGCAGUAA
rnacentral:rRNA from 1 species